rnacentral:lncRNA from 1 species
CCAAUAUUUGUUUCAAUCAAUAAUUGAACUCGGGUUCUCUUAAAUAGUACAGUCAUUGGUAAAACUCGAACAGAUUCUCUUGAACGGUUCGGUCUUUGGUAAAACUCAAUAACCAUUUGAGUCCAUAAAGUAAUUUGAUUGGAUGUAUUAUAUUUGUAGUUGAAAAAUGGAUUUAGUUUUUCAAUUUUCUAGGUGUAGAUAAUUAAUUAUAUUUAGGAGUUAAAACCCAUUUUGGUUGGCCUGGUGGUACUGGCUUGGGACAUGGGAGUGUGAUCCUCUUCGAGGUCUUCGGUCAGAUUCUCUCCGGUAUCAAUUUAGCUAGGUUAAUUUAUCUAAAAAAAUUAUAUUACCGGUUUGAAAAUGGAUUAGAAUUCUCACCCCUUUAUCAUUCAUGAAAAGGAAGAAGAGUGAUGAUGCCCAUUUUUCAAUUCUCACCCCAUUGUUUGUUUUGUUUAUCUUUUUUUUUUUUUUUUCAGGGAGUUUGUUUCACCACCUCCACUUCAUUUGCCUUGAAAAAAUAAUUAAUUAAACGGUAAAUUUCUAAGUUAUUGUUUAUUUGUAUAUCCCUAUGUUUAGGUUUAUAUUGUUAUGGCUGUUUCGAAAUUGUUGGGUGAGGACUUUUUAAAAGGUACACGUUUCUAAGUGACAUGUUUAACUUGUGAGUAUCUAUGACUAUAAAUAGAGACAUACAGGGUUGUGGAGUUUGCUAAAUUAGCAUCUCUCUUUUCCUUUUC